rnacentral:rRNA from 1 species
CCUACGGGUGGCUGCAGUGAGGAAUAUUGGUCAAUGGCCGGAAGUCUGAACCAGCCAAGCCGCGUGAAGGACGACGGUGCCAAGCAUUGUAAACUUCUUUUGUCAAGGGAUAAACUGAGUCACGAGAGCCUGACUGAGGGUACUUGAUGAAAAAGCAUCGGCUAAUUCCGUGCCAGCAGCCGCGGUAAUACGGAGGAUUCGAGCGUUAUCCGGAUUUAUUGGGUUUAAAGGGAGCGUAGGCGGACUGUUAAGCGAGUGGUAAAAGGCCGGGGCUCAACCCCGGCAAGCCGUUGCAACUGGCUGGCUUGAGAUGCCGGGAGGUAGGCGGAAUGCGCGGUGUAGCGGUGAAAUGCUUAGAUAUUGCGCAGAACUCCGAUUGCGAAGGCAGCAUACCGGCGGCGUUCUGACGCUGAGGCACGAAAGCGUAGGUAUCGAACAGGAUUAGAUACCCGUGUAGUC